UUCGGGUGGCUCCGCCCACAGCAGGCAGCUUCUCAAGCCACGCCUGCGCAGGUCUUCGGCGAGUGGCCCGGGUUAGCUUCCCCAUAAGUGCCAGGUGAUUGUCAGCUAAUGACAGAGAAGACAAAUGGAAAACAUCUGGACAUUUGAAGGGCAAUGACCAUAAACUGCUUCUCAGAUACUGGAGUCUGAGCACACCAUCUGUUGACUAAGUGAAUAGUUGACCUGAGAAGAAAGUUGCUCAAGAGGGAAGUGCCCUGAGAAAAAGCCACUGAGAGAGGAGUGUCAUCUGGGUUGGGAACCCAAAGCAAGCAACCAUCCAGAUCCUGAGGGGGUCAUUUUCUUGCUUUUGAUGUAGUAUGGGAAGCAUCCAGUUUUCAUAGAAUGUAGAAUAAAAUUAUACUAAUAUA